UUUUAUGAGAGUUUGAUCCUGGCUCAGGACGAACGCUGGCGGCGUGCCUAAUACAUGCAAGUCGAACGCUUCUUUUUCCACCGGAGCUUGCUCCACCGGAAAAAGAGGAGUGGCGAACGGGUGAGUAACACGUGGGUAACCUGCCCAUCAGAAGGGGAUAACACUUGGAAACAGGUGCUAAUACCGUAUAACAAUCGAAACCGCAUGGUUUUGAUUUGAAAGGCGCUUUCGGGUGUCGCUGAUGGAUGGACCCGCGGUGCAUUAGCUAGUUGGUGAGGUAACGGCUCACCAAGGCGACGAUGCAUAGCCGACCUGAGAGGGUGAUCGGCCACAUUGGGACUGAGACACGGCCCAAACUCCUACGGGAGGCAGCAGUAGGGAAUCUUCGGCAAUGGACGAAAGUCUGACCGAGCAACGCCGCGUGAGUGAAGAAGGUUUUCGGAUCGUAAAACUCUGUUGUUAGAGAAGAACAAGGAUGAGAGUAACUGUUCAUCCCUUGACGGUAUCUAACCAGAAAGCCACGGCUAACUACGUGCCAGCAGCCGCGGUAAUACGUAGGUGGCAAGCGUUGUCCGGAUUUAUUGGGCGUAAAGCGAGCGCAGGCGGUUUCUUAAGUCUGAUGUGAAAGCCCCCGGCUCAACCGGGGAGGGUCAUUGGAAACUGGGAGACUUGAGUGCAGAAGAGGAGAGUGGAAUUCCAUGUGUAGCGGUGAAAUGCGUAGAUAUAUGGAGGAACACCAGUGGCGAAGGCGGCUCUCUGGUCUGUAACUGACGCUGAGGCUCGAAAGCGUGGGGAGCAAACAGGAUUAGAUACCCUGGUAGUCCACGCCGUAAACGAUGAGUGCUAAGUGUUGGAGGGUUUCCGCCCUUCAGUGCUGCAGCUAACGCAUUAAGCACUCCGCCUGGGGAGUACGACCGCAAGGUUGAAACUCAAAGGAAUUGACGGGGGCCCGCACAAGCGGUGGAGCAUGUGGUUUAAUUCGAAGCAACGCGAAG
rnacentral:rRNA from 1 species